GUUUGCAGGAAGAAGAUUUGGUGUUGAUGGAGGAGGCAACAUCUUAAAGGCAAAACCUUAGACCUCAUUCAACAUCAUCCAAUGUUGCAAUCACCCUCAGGAGGCACUUGAAGACCAGUGUCCAAUAUGUACAUUUCCAGUGUCAGAAGUAGAGCUGCCAUGCCAGCUUUUGUGGAGAAAGUGAGGAGGAUGCGAUUCGUCAUGCAGCAGCACAGACAAUCUGUCACGAGAUAACAUGUCUAAAGUUGUGGAAACGUCAAAAAACAGGAAGCCCUGUCAAUCCCUUGAAAAUCACCUUCCUUGGAG
rnacentral:lncRNA from 1 species